rnacentral:rRNA from 1 species
UGGCUGUUCGCCAUUUAAAGUGGUACGCGAGCUGGGUUUAGAACGUCGUGAGACAGUUCGGUCCCUAUCUGCCGUGGGCGCUGGAGAACUGAGGGGGGCUGCUCCUAGUACGAGAGGACCGGAGUGGCCGCGAAGCAGCGCGGGUAAAUUUUCCGGCCAGUGCAGAUCGACCUUAUGACAACUGACGUUGGCGAGGCGCUGUUUUUCCAGACGUUCGACGCGUCGCGCCGCCGCCCGCACCUGAUGCCCUUGCUG